UUUGUCCAGUCCAGGCCAGCUGUAUUGUGACAAUAUUGUGACAUUCAGCAAGGUCAGUCACCAUCAGCCAAGCUUCUUGCCUCAACCAAAGCCAAUGCCAGACAGCUCCAGGACAGACCCGCUAUUGGUAGGGUUGAGCCCAGCAGCGAUGGUAGCGCUUCUGAGGUUGUGUCAGCCCCACCAAGCACAGAAAGAACAAUUCCAGAGAGCUGAUAGGAACAGUGAAGUUGUCUGUAUGCAAACGUUCUACUCAGGCAGCACAUGGAGGACAAGCCUGUUACAGAUCUUCUUUAAUUGGUGCAAAUGCAUUUCGUGUGACCUACGUGUGACUAUGGAUACAAUGAGAGAACUUCCAGUCCCUCUCUUUGGUUUAUGAUCUAUGUUAAAUCAAAGGAACAGCUCAGAAGAUGCUGCUGGUUCCAGAAGCAGUAAUAUGCAGGUGUUACAGCCUGGAUAUAAUAGCUUCCUACAGGGAAAAUUGUACCACCCUAUGGAGACUUCAGUAUUUCAGAGAAAGAUGGAUAAAUAACAAUUUAUCUUUUAACAGUGCAAAUGUUGAAGUUGACAAAAAAAUAACUCUGUAUACUUUUAAUACAAUCUUAGUCACUCCUUACUCCUGCUAUUAUGGCUAUUCCCAAAAAAAGACGGACUAUUCACCUUAAAUUAAAGGCUUAUGGAGAACCUAGAGGCAAUUGAUACAUUAAAAUUCCUUGCACAGA